UCCUCCUCCUCCUCCUCCCCGCCGGGGUGAAACUCGAGCGCCCCACCCGCGCCUGACCUCCCCGAGCCCCUCCCCGGGCCCCGCCCCUUCCCGGUACAGGACCCCCACCUUCGCUCCUGGGAGCCCCGCUGCACCCCAGGAGUUCCAUUCCAGCCUCCCCAGUGCGAGUGCGGCCGAGCGCUGACUUUUGGGGGCUCCCUCCCCCGUCUCACUGGGUCCCUCUGCGGCUCCCCCGCCCGCUGUCCCGGUUCAGACGUGGCUGCACCCCGGAGGGGGGCGCCGGCCGAGACCUGAGACGUGGCGCUCCCUCUCUGCCGGCCUCGGCUUCAGGGCUUGAAUUUCAGCCACAUCCCUAAGCUGCCAUCUCAGACCAGAGGAACAGGGAGGGGGGCUUUCUGGAAAGAACAUCACCUGGAAGAAAUCAGGACAUGACUGUGGGCCAUGAGUGACCUUCAAAGGAAAGCCGGGUAUCUGUGGUCUUUAAGAUGUGGUAAGAUUGUAUUAAAAUUAUAGAAAAAAACCUCAAUCCAGAAAUCGUGGCCUCUUGACAUUUACAUCUUAACUGCAUUUUCCUACCAAUGAGAUGCAUUACAAUCAUCCUCCAUAAGUGUUCUCUUUUUACCCCUGUUUCCAUUCUUUUAGAUCCAUGACAUUUAAAAACUGAAGAAAUGGAAAGAUCAUCUGAUCAGGCCCAUCAGUCUUUUUCCUAAUGCUAAACAUUGGUACAAAGACGUGAAGUUUGAUGUCUCACUAAGAUUGCCUAGGGCUGCUUUAUUGCUCACCUACUUCAAAGUAUUGGGAAAACAUGAUUAUGGGUACAGGUGAUGCUGUGUUGCCCCCAGACAGGUUUCUUUUGUCAGGUUCUUUUGAUGGAUUAGGAACCUACAAGUGGGGAGAUUUUAGGGAAAUAGCCCCUCCACUUGGAUUUCACCAAAACGUCUUUAGGGUUCUCUUACCCCAAGAAACACGCAUUCCUCUUUAGUGUGGCAGCCCACUCUAUUGGCAAAGUUAAGCAGACCAGUUUUACUAAAAAGGAGCCACCCAGAAACUUAGACAGAAAAUACUUGAGGCACAGAUGAGAAUGAGCACAAAUGUGCAUAGCAAGUGCAGUUUCCUGGCCCUUAAACUGAAGGGCCAGGUCAGUCUGCUCCUCCAGGCACAGCCUGGGACCCCAUCAUGUGCCCCACUCUGCAGUCUGAGCUUCCACUCAAGUCCACCAGGGCCUGCCUCACAUAUAUAUACAAGACCCAAUGUCAGAGUCUGCCUCUGCCCAUGUCUGGUCAGAGGGUUGCACUUUGCCACUGCUACAUGUUCCCAGAGGUUGGCACAGCAUGACCUGGACCUCACCUAACCCAGGCAAACUCUGCUCAUCUUCGAGCUCUCUGGAACCCAUUUCUCAAGGGAGAACCACAUUCCCCCACCUCACAGCCAAGUUCAAGGAAGCAGCCUGGCUAAAGCAAUGACUCAAGGAUACCAGAAGCAGAGCACGCAUUUAAGAAGAUGCGCUGACUCGCAGGAGCAGCUGACUCUUCUUAAGAAGAGUUUACUGAUUCUUCUUUCAGUACGGGCCUUUUAAUAAGAUAUUGUAUUUUACUUCAGCUAUGGGUGCAGACAAUUAAAGGAUUCUAGAAAUCUGAAAGUGUUUUGCCUUGUCCUCUUGGUUAAAUUUCUGGAUAUAUUGUCUAGCAACUCAAUUUGCUUAAACAAAAUUGUUGUGUCAAAAAAGCCCAAGUCAUCUUUUAUAAGUGUGGUCUGGGGAGAAGAAAAAAAUGCUAAGUUUAAAAGAUUUUUGGAAUAUCUGAAGAAAAUACAGAUAGCUUGUAAUGGAGAUGAAGCCUCUGGAUGGUUUCCAGGGUGUUAUUUUCCGACAUUGAGUCUUGUAUAUAUCUUGAAUGUCUAUAAGCAAAGAAUGGCUAUACUGUUUUUAAAAAGAUAUGUUUUAUACUUAUUA
rnacentral:lncRNA from 10 species